rnacentral:tRNA from 1 species
AGCUCGGUAGCUUAGUAGGUAAAGCACUAGCAAAUAAGGGUCGUGAGUUCAAAUCUCACCUGAGCUG